CAGUAGCCGCGGUAAUGCGUAGGGUGCAAGCGUUAUCCGGAAUUAUUGGGCGUAAAGAGCUCGUAGGCGGUUUGUCGCGUCUGCCGUGAAAGUCCGGGGCUCAACCCCGGAUCUGCGGUGGGUACGGGCAGACUAGAGUGAUGUAGGGGAGACUGGAAUUCCUGGUGUAGCGGUGAAAUGCGCAGAUAUCAGGAGGAACACCGAUGGCGAAGGCAGGUCUCUGGGCAUUAACUGACGCUGAGGAGCGAAAGCAUGGGGAGCGAACAGGAUUAGAUACCCCUGUAGUCCCUGUCUCUUAUAA
rnacentral:rRNA from 1 species